rnacentral:rRNA from 1 species
UGGCGGCCUUAGCGCGGUGGUCCCACCUGACCCCAUGCCGAACUCAGAAGUGAAACGCCGUAGCGCCGAUGGUAGUGUGGG